CCUUUAAUAUAAUCAUGGAAUACGAUUGACAACCCAACAUUCAACGCAUGCGGGUGAACAAAGCAAAGUUGGAUGGUAUUAGAAUAAUAAGGAAAAAUGUCAGGUGAUGGGUUAUUGACUUCUCCUCAGUCCUCGCCUAUCUCUUCCUCCCAUUUUUUCCUUUUCCCCUAAACCGGACAAACAAAGACCCUCUUCUCCUCGCUCGACUGGAGAUCCAGCUAGGAGACACGCACCAAAACAGAAAGAAAAAAAUAAAGCAGAAUGUCCUGCGAAAAGAUUGACGGCCUGGCUAGGUGGUUCGGCACGAGUGUCGCCUCGGCAUUCUUCGCCUCGUUGGAGCGAUGUGCUUGUGUCAAUCUCACAACCUAUGCCUCUGAUGAUGAGGAAGAGGAAGAAGCUAAAGAUCGCCCUCUCUUUAUGAACAAUUUGCCUUCUCAUGUUGAUCCUUGCGCUAGGACUAACAAUUCUCCCUCCGUUGACAACCUACCUAUUUGACUCUUCUGAACUGGCAUCACCAACUUCGUCAUAUUAAUCCCCUGGCUCCAAACAGAGGAAAUGGAAAUGUAAUUCUGGUAUCAACUGUAAUAUUUUUUUUCCCUUAUAGACUGAUUUUCCCCUUGAAGUGUUGUAUGAGGCGUUUGUCCAUUGGCAUUUUCGUUACAAGGUCAAACAUUUAAGCACGAACAAGACGCCUUUUAUUGUUCCUUUACCUUGA